rnacentral:rRNA from 1 species
UACGAAGGGGGCUAGCGUUGCUCGGAAUUACUGGGCGUAAAGCGCACGUAGGCGGCUUUCUAAGUCGGGGGUGAAAUCCUGGAGCUCAACUCCAGAACUGCCUUCGAUACUGGAAAGCUCGAGUCCGGGAGAGGUGAGUGGAACUGCGAGUGUAGAGGUGAAAUUCGUAGAUAUUCGCAAGAACACCAGUGGCGAAGGCGGCUCACUGGCCCGGUACUGACGCUGAUGCGCGAAAGCGUGGGUAGCAAACAGG